GCGGAUAUGGUGUACGGCGCACCGCGGCCCUAAAUGGGAUCUUCGAGGAGUGGAGGCCGCAGGUCCGGGUUCGACUCCCGGUGUCCGCA